rnacentral:rRNA from 1 species
GGGAGCGUGGGUGGCUCGAUAAGUCAGAUGUGAAAUCCCCGGGCUCAACCUGGGAACUGCAUCUGAUACUGUUGAGCUAGAGUAUGUGAGAGGAAGGUAGAAUUCCAGGUGUAGCGGUGAAAUGCGUAGAGAUCUGGAGGAAUACCGAUGGCGAAGGCAGCCUUCUGGCAUAAUACUGACACUGAGGCUCGAAAGCGUGGGUAGCAAACAGGAUUAGAUACCCUGGUAGUCCACGCCGUAAACGAUGUCUACUAGUCGUUGGGUCCCUUGAGGACUUAGUGACGCAGCUAACGCAAUAAGUAGACCGCCUGGGGAGUACGGCCGCAAGGUUAAAACUCAAAUGAAUUGACGGGGGCCCGCACAAGCGGUGGAGCAUGUGGUUUAAUUCGAUGCAACGCGAAGAACCUUACCUGGUCUUGACAUAUCUAGAAUCCUGCAGAGAUGCGGGAGUGCCUUCGGGAAUUAGAAUACAGGUGCUGCAUGGCUGUCGUCAGCUCGUGUCGUGAGAUGUUGGGUUAAGUCCCGCAACGAGCGCAACCCUUGUCCUUAGUUACCAGCGGGUUAAGCCGGGAACUCUAAGGAUACUGCCAGUGACAAACUGGAGGAAGGCGGGGACGACGUCAAGUCAUCAUGGCCCUUACGACCAGGGCUACACACGUGCUACAAUGGUAGGUACAGAGGGCAGCUACACAGCGAUGUGAUGCGAAUCUCAAAAAGCCUAUCGUAGUCCAGAUUGGAGUCUGCAACUCGACUCCAUGAAGUAGGAAUCGCUAG